rnacentral:rRNA from 1 species
GACGAACGCUGGCGGCGUGCUUAACACAUGCAAGUCGAACGGAAAGGCCCUGCUUUUGUGGGGUGCUCGAGUGGCGAACGGGUGAGUAACACGUGAGUAACCUGCCCUUGACUUUGGGAUAACUUCAGGAAACUGGGGCUAAUACCGGAUAGGAGCUCCUGCUGCAUGGUGGGGGUUGGAAAGUUUCGGCGGUUGGGGAUGGACUCGCGGCUUAUCAGCUUGUUGGUGGGGUAGUGGCUUACCAAGGCUUUGACGGGUAGCCGGCCUGAGAGGGUGACCGGCCACAUUGGGACUGAGAUACGGCCCAGACCCCUACGGGAGGCAGCAGUGGGGAAUAUUGCACAAUGGGCGGAAGCCCGAUGCAGCAACGCCGCGUGCGGGAUGACGGCCUUCGGGUUGUAAACCGCUUUCGCCUGUGACGAAGCGUGAGUGACGGUAAUGGGUAAAGAAGCACCGGCUAACUACGUG